UCGGGUAUGGUGUAACGGCUAACAUUGCCGCCUCUCAUACAAUUCAGAUAGUGGUGAUCGCGGCAGCUCGGGGUUCGAUUCCCCGUACCCGAA